GGAGAUAUAGCUUAGUGGUAAAGUGUUUGCUUCACAUACACAAGGCCCUGAGUUCGAGUCUCAGAACUACCA
rnacentral:tRNA from 1 species